AGAGAGAGAGAAAAAAAAACAAGCAAACAGUGCAGACGAUGGUGCUAGAAUAGGAGAGGGGAAAAAAUAAUUACUUAUAUUAAGAAUGCAUGAAUUCCCAUUCAAGAGUUACAGGAUAUUCAUGAAGGCCGAUAUCCAGCACUGCACUGUUUGCUUGGUUUUUUUUCUCUCUCUCCCC